rnacentral:rRNA from 1 species
AGUGAACGCUGGCGGCAGGCCUAACACAUGCCAGUCGAGCGGCAGCGGGUCCUUCGGGCUGCCGGCGAGCGGCGGACGGGUGAGGAAUGCGUCGGAAUCUGCCUUUUUGUGGGGGAUAACGUAGGGAAACUUACGCUAAUACCGCAUACGACCUACGGGUGAAAGUGGGGGACCGCAAGGCCUCACGCAGAAAGAUGAGCCGACGUCGGAUUAGCUAGUUGGCGGGGUAAAGGCCCACCAAGGCGACGAUCCGUAGCUGGUCUGAGAGGAUGAUCAGCCACACUGGAACUGAGACACGGUCCAGACUCCUACGGGAGGCAGCAGUGGGGAAUAUUGGACAAUGAGCGCAAGCCUGAUCCAGCCAUGCCGCGUGUGUGAAGAAGGCCUUCGGGUUGUAAAGCACUUUUGUCCGGAAAGAAAUCCUGUCGGCUAAUACCCGGCGGGGAUGACGGUACCGGAAGAAUAAGCACCGGCUAACUUCGUG